UACAGAGGGUGCGAGCGUUGUCCGGAAUCACUGGGCGUAAAGGGCGCGUAGGCGGCUUGGUAAGGUUGCGGUGAAAGCCCGGGGCUCAACCCCGGGUCGGCCGUGGCAACUGCUGAGCUGGAGCACUGUAGAGGCAGGUGGAAUUCCGGGUGUAGCGGUGGAAUGCGUAGAGAUCCGGAAGAACACCGGUGGCGAAGGCGGCCUGCUGGGCAGUGGCUGACGCUGAUGCGCGACAGCGUGGGGGAGCAAACAGG
rnacentral:rRNA from 1 species